GUAGGUGGCAAGCGUUGUCCGGAAUUAUUGGGCGUAAAGCGCGCGCAGGUGGUUCGUUUAAGUCUGAUGUGAAAGACCCCCGGGCUCAACCGGGGAGGGUCAUUGGAAACUGGGGAACUUGAGUGCAGGAGAGGAAAGUGGAAUUCCACGUGUAGCGGUGAAAUGCGUAGAUAUGUGGAGGAACACCAGUGGCGAAGGCGACUUUCUGGCCUGUAACUGACACUGAGGCGCGAAAGCGUGGGGAGCAAACAGGAUUAGAUACCCUGGUAGUCCACGCCGUAAACGAUGAGUGCUAAGUGUUGGGGGGUUUCCGCCCCUCAGUGCGGCAGCUAACGCAUUAAGCACUCCGCCUGGGGAGUACGGUCGCAAAGACUGA
rnacentral:rRNA from 1 species